rnacentral:rRNA from 1 species
AUUGAACGCUGGCGGCAGGCCUAACACAUGCAAGUCGAACGAGUGGCGGACGGGUGAGUAAUGUAUGGGAACCUGCCUGAUCGAGGGGGAUAACUACUGGAAACGGUGGCUAAUACCGCAUACCAUCGGUUCGGCCCUGAUCGGAUUAGCUAGUUGGUGGGGUAAAGGCUCACCAAGGCGACGAUCCCUAGCUGGUCCGAGAGGAUGACCAGCCACACUGGGACUGAGACACGGCCCAGACUCCUACGGGAGGCAGCAGUGGGGAAUAUUGGACAAUGGACGAAAGCCUGAUGCAGCCAUGCCGCGUGUAUGAAGAAGGCCUUCGGGUUGUAAAGUACUGUCGGCAGGGAGGCGGUACCUGACGAGAAAGCACCGGCUAACUACGUGCCAGCAGCCGCGGUAAUAC